AACUGUUAAGUGAAUGAACUCAUCCAGUGUGAUGAUUGGGUUUUCAUGCUACUGUGUGAGAUGUGUUGCCUCAGAUUUUGUUAUGAUGUCAGCACAUUAUCCAUCUGACA